AAACAAUUUCCUGUCCAGCUCUAUGUAUGGGGGUCCUUUUGGAUUUCUCCUCCUCCUUUCUGAUCACUACUCUUGUGUGCCCACCCCAUAGCAUGGGUAGGCAGGCCGAAGCUGGGAUCUUUGGCCACUAAAUACGACACAGGCCUCUAUCCCUAUGAGCUAAAAGAUUCAUUUAGCAGGUAGCAGUAGUAGGUUAUUCUCCAUGCAGCUCAGGCACUGGAGGGAUAGAUGGCACAUGCUUUGCCAGUGAACAUAUUCCCCCUGUCAGUUCCUGAGCAUCUCAGUUCAAGUCCUUGCUCAGGGUCUACAAAGUGCAAGGCCAGGUGGCCCCAUAGCUAGAGCUGCUCUCUCUAGUGUGUCUGGCCUUUCUGUCACCCCCCACUUGUAUUUCUAGGGGCAACUGCUACCACCGUAAAGGAGGCAUGUGAAGUACUGUCAACAUGGAUGCCUGGUAUGGCUCUUUCCCUGCUGACUCUGAGCAUGCCCAGGAGAAGCUCAUCUGACCUUCCCAAGACAGUUGUGGCAUCUGGCCUAAUCUGGAGCCUGCUUGCCCUACUGUGGGCUGAUCUGCCCAUCAAGGAAAGGGGGUUACACUGGCACAGCAAAUGUCUCCUUCAACUGCCAUGGAACCUUCAGGCCCCAACAUUCUGUCCUCCCGCCAUUUCCAACUGCCACGGAAGGUCACUCCAUAUGGGUAUCCUGUAUUGUCCCCUCCUCUUGGACAAGGUCUGUCAGCUGCUGUAGGAAUGCUUUUUAGCUUUAACUUUGGUCUUUUUGUUAAGACCAAAGUUUAGAUAUUUAAGUCAAAGCAGACUGCGAAGAGUUACAAAGGGAUCUCAUAAAACUGGGUGAUUGAUUGGGCAACAAAGCAGCAGAUGAAAUGCAAUGUUGACAAAUGCAAAGUAGUGGAUAUUGGAAAACAUAAUCCUAAUUAUACAUAUAAAAGGAUGGGGUUUAAAUUAGCUGUUACUACUCAAGAAAGAGAUCUUGGAGUCAUUGUGGAUAGUUCUGUGAAAACAUGCACUCAAUGUGCAGCCGCAGUCAAAAAAGUGAACAGAAUGUUAGGAACCGUUAGCAAAGGGUUAGAGAACAAGACAUACUGCCUCUAGAUUAAUCCAUGGUACACGCACAUCUUGAAUACUGCGUGCAGAUCUGGUUGCCCCAACUCAAAAACAUAUAUUGGAAUUAGGAAAGGUACAGAAAAGGGCAAUAAAAAUGAUGAAGGGUAUUGAACA
rnacentral:lncRNA from 1 species